rnacentral:hammerhead_ribozyme from 2 species
AUUGGCCAUUAUCUGCAGCUGAUGAGCUCCAAAAAGAGCAGGACCACUUGGAUCCUUUAGUACUGCCCUAUAAGUGU